rnacentral:lncRNA from 1 species
UGACCAUGAGUGAGUGUGUGUGAAUAAAAUAAUAAAAUAAAUAAAAUGCAAACACAGCACCAGGGCAGGCGGCCCAGUGUGUGUGUCACAACUGUGUGACUGUGUGAGGCAGGGGGAUGUCUGUGAGUGAUUUUCUGGGGCAGGGUGAUGAUGCUGAUUGAAUGUGUGAGACAGGGGCAUGAAAAUGAGACAGGGGAUGAAGCUGAGUGAAUGUAUGAGGCAGGGGUUUAACUGUGAGUGAGUUUCUGAGGCAGGGGGAUGACUUUUAGUGUGUUUCUGAGGUAGGGGUUUGAUGCUGAGUGACUGUGUGACACAGGAGAUUGACCCUGAGAGGCUGUAUGAGGCAGGGGGAUGUUAGUGAGUUUCUCUGUGAGGCAGGGGGAUGACAGUGAGUGAUUUUCUGAGGCAGGGGGAUGAAGCAGAGUAACUGUGGGGCAGGGGGAUGUGGCUGU